CUAGCCGUAAACUCUGAGAACUUGAUUGAAGGAUCCUCCAUAGUCUUUCAGUCGUAGCGAAAGUGUUAAGUUCUCCGCCUGGGGAGUAUGGUCGCAAGGCUGAAACUCAAAGAAAUUGACGGGGGCUCACACAAGCGGUGGAGGAUGUGGCUUAAUUCGAGGCUACGCGAAGAACCUUAUCCUAGUCUUGACAUGCAUUUCUAAGUCGGUGAAAGCCGGCGACCGUAGCAAUACGGAACUUGCACAGGUGC
rnacentral:rRNA from 1 species